UACGUAGGGGGCGAGCGUUGUCCGGAAUUAUUGGGCGUAAAGAGCUUGUAGGCGGUUUGUCGCGUCUGCUGUGAAAAUCCGGGGCUCAACCCCGGACUUGCAGUGGGUACGGGCAGACUAGAGUGUGGUAGGGGAGACUGGAAUUCCUGGUGUAGCGGUGAAAUGCGCAGAUAUCAGGAGGAACACCGAUGGCGAAGGCAGGUCUCUGGGCCACUACUGACGCUGAGAAGCGAAAGCAUGGGGAGCGAACAGG
rnacentral:rRNA from 1 species